UACGUAGGCAGCGAGCGUUGUUCGGAGUUACUGGGCGUAAAGGGUGUGUAGGCGGCCUAUUAAGUUUGGUGUGAAAUCUCCCGGCUCAACCGGGAGGGUGCGCCGAAAACUGGGAGGCUAGAGUGCGGGAUGGGAGAGUGGAAUUCCCGGUGUAGCGGUGAAAUGCGUAGAUAUCAGGAGGAACACCGGUGGUGCAGACGGCUCUUUGGACCGUAACUGACGCUGAGACACGAAAAGCGUGGGUAGCAAACAGG
rnacentral:rRNA from 1 species